GCUGGGUGGGGUGGCACAUGCCUGCAGUUCUAGCUACUUGACAAGCUGAGGAGAGAGGAUCACUUGAGCCCAGGAGUUCAAGAUCAGCCUCAGCAAUAAAUUGAGACCCCCUUCUCAA
rnacentral:sRNA from 1 species